AUCUCCUACAAACUUUGGUUUGUUUAUUCAUCAUUACUGAUUACCUUGUGUUUUUUUCCCUCAAGAAUCGGAAACAAAAAAAUGUUGUUUGCAUAUUUCGAGGAUCCUUUUAAUCUUAAAAAGCAUCCAGAUCGGUGGAAUGGCGUAAGAUCUGUGAACUUUUUCUGUAAACUUUAUGAUUAUGUUGAUUCUUAUCACAAAAAAGAAAGAAAAAUCAAGGCCUCAGAUAAGCGGUUAUACAACAGAAUCAGUAAUAUCACCAUAACCGACUGGAAAGCUGCUUUGCCACGUGAAUGCAAGGCUGAAGCUAUGGAACGUGUAAAGGAUUACAGCUUUACUUGGUCAAUUCAUUUUCUUGGAUUUAUACGGCAUUUUUGUCAACACAGCGCCACAAGUGAUACCCUCAUACAUAAACAUUUCGGGGUGACCGGUGAGGGAUACUACCAAACUUUUUGAGGAUUGAAUCAACAAUUCCUCAUUCAAUGCUUCACAGCCGUAGAGGAAGAAUUUGACGGAACCAGUGGUCUGGUCCAUCACGACUUCUUUGAUGACUAUUUAAUCGUUCCGAGUGCGGUGGUUGCAGAUCGACUUUAAUUUAAUCGCAUGCGAGGAAAUGGAAACUGAUAGUAGGAGUUUGCGGUUUCCAUUUUUGUUGGUUUUUCUGUGUGCUCUCUUUGAUUUCGUAACUCUUAAACUAUUGUCUGAUGAUGAACUUAAUUUUUUCGUGUGGUGUGA